GUGGGUGUAGCUCAGUCAGGUUAGGGCGUCUGGUUGUGACCCAGAAGGCAAGGGUUCAAAUCCCUUCACUCACCCCA
rnacentral:tRNA from 1 species